AUCCACACUAGUAAUAUAAUUAAUAAUAGGCUAAAGUCAGUCACACACCUCGACUUUCUUCCAAAUAACGGACAUUUCAUUCAUAAUGUUAUAAUACAGGCCUAUAGUUCCUGCAAAUGAAACUAGGUAAUACAAAACGAUUAUGCGAUCAUCAAGGUGAAUUGGUUUAGUCUUGACUUCUGGUCCUGAGUGACAGUUGGGGGGGAUGGGAAAUCUGUUGAUUGUCGAGUGCCAAAUAAACAGAGAUGGAGAUGAAAAGGUCAAAGCCAGGUGCCCAAUUUCGAAAAAAAAAAGAAGAAGAGGAGAAAUGAGCAAAAGAUAAAGGGGCACUUCUAAAAUAUUUUGGAGCAUCCUCUGCCACUGGUCAGGAUGAGCCAACCACCUCCUCCGCUACACAUAUGUCUCCACAAAUAUCUGAUAUUGAGGAUGAAGACCUCUUUGCCUCUACUUCUACUCAUCAUGAGCUUUCAGAAAUGCCUGGAGCUGAACCCCCACUGAGCCCCACUGGCCCUCACAUCUGACUGACAGGAUUCGGACUGAGCUGGUUCACAGAGGACCAAGUAAAGUGCCACCUGGCUUUGUUUUCCGUAGGAAUGAGAGUAAUGGGAGAAGUUGCCACCACUAAUAUUUUAAGAAGACAUUAGUAAGUGGUGAAAAGAUGGCAAGAAGUUGGCUGAUUUAUUCAAUUAAGAACAACAGCCUCUUUUGCUUCUGCUACAAAUUGUUUUCCAAGAGGAACAUCAAUUUAACAAGUGCAGGAAUGGCAAAUUGGAAACAUGCAUGCAAUGAUCUCACAUCCUAUGAAAACAGUUGUUAUAAUAAAAUAUUGCUGUUUGUGCAGAA